GUUAGAGUUCACGUCACAUCGAACCACCUCGUGAUGAUGAACUCCGCUAACGCCAAGGAACGGCUGUGUUUUCAAAAUAAAAACAUGAUUUAUGCGCACAUAAAUUUUUAACAGCCUUGGUGGACUCGGUUAAAUGCCUCGACCAAGGUAUUCUCGAGAAUGAUUUUGGCAGGAGCCAAGCUUUUAAGAUACUCAUAAGCCAUGUUGAUUAUUUAAAUGAAAUGAAUAUUUAUGUUAUGAAAUACAUAUUGAGAUGGAAUAUUUUAAUCGUCUCCAUUUACUCG
rnacentral:lncRNA from 1 species